rnacentral:rRNA from 1 species
GGUGCCUUCGGGAACGUCUGACGACAGGUGCUGCAUGGCUGUCGUCAGCUCGUGUCGUGAGAUGUGGGUUAAGUCCCGCAACGAGCGCAACCCUUGCCUUUAGUUGCCAGCAGUUCGGCUGGGCACUCUAAAGGGACUGCCGGUGUUAAACCGGAGGAAGGUGGGGAUGACGUCAAGUCCUCAUGGCCUUUAUGACCAGGGCUACACACGUACUACAAUGGCCGAUACAAAGGGCAGCGACACUGCGAGGUGAAGCCAAUCCCGUAAAAUCGGUCUCAGUCCGGAUUGGAGUCUGCAACUCGACUCCAUGAAGUUGGAAUCGCUAGUAAUCGUGGAUCAGCAUGCCACGGUGAAUACGUUCCCGGGCCUU